UUGCAUAUUAGUGCAUGACAUGACGCUUU
rnacentral:piRNA from 1 species